rnacentral:rRNA from 1 species
CCUACGGGUGGCAGCAGUAGGGAAUAUUGCUCCAUGGGGGAAACCCUGAAGCAGCAACGCCGCGUGGAGGAUGAAGGUUUUCGGAUUGUCAACUCCUUUUGUUAGAGAAGAUACUGACGGUAUCUAACGGAUAAGCACCGGCUAACUCCGUGCCAGCAGCCGCGGUAAUACGGAGGGUGCAAGCGUUAAUCGGAAUCACUGGGCGGAAAGAGCGCGUAGGCGGGAGAGCAAGUCAGAUGUGAAAUCCUAUGGCUUAACCAUAGAACUGCAUUUGAAACUGGUAUUCUAGAGUAUGGGAGAGGUAGGUGGAAUUCUUGGUGUAGGGGUAAAAUCCGUAGAGAUCAAGAGGAAUACUCAUUGCGAAGGCGACCUGCUAGAACAUAACUGACGCUGAUGCGCGAAAGCGUGGGGAGCAAACAGGAUUAGAUACCCUAGUAGUC